UCAUAACUGAGACCAUACCUAUGGCUACAGCACGGUUGUAUCAAUGCUGCUAACUGUGAUUGAGCUUCCUUGCUGUAGACAUGGGUAGGCCUUCCACAAC